rnacentral:rRNA from 1 species
GGCGGGUCUUAACACCCUUGCAAGUCGAACGAACCUUCGGGUUAGUGGCGGACGGGUGAGUACGUCAUCUGCCCUCAGGAGGGGGACAACAGUUGGAAACGACUGCUAAUACCCAUAUGCCGCGAGGUGAAACGAAUUUCGCCUGAGGAUGAGCUCGCGUCUGAUUAGCUAGUUGGUGUAGGUAAUGGCUCACCAAGGCAUCGAUCAGUAGCUGGUCUGAGAGGAUGAUCAGCCACACUGGGACUGAGACACGGCCCAGACUCCUACGGGAGGCAGCAGUGGGGAAUUUUCCGCAAUGGGCGAAAGCCUGACGGAGCAACGCCGCGUGAGGGAUGAAGGCCUCUGGGCUGUAAACCUCUUUUAUCAAGGAAGAAGAUCUGACGGUACUUGAUGAAUAAGCCACGGCUAAUUCCGUGCCAGCAGCCGCGGUAAUACGGGAGUGGCAAGCGUUAUCCGGAAUUAUUGGGCGUAAAGCGUCCGCAGGCGGCCCUUCAAGUCUGCUGUUAAAAAGUGGAGCUUAACUCCAUCAUG